UACGUAGGGUCCAAGCGUUAAUCGGAAUUACUGGGCGUAAAGCGUGCGCAGGCGGUUGUGUAAGUCAGAUGUGAAAUCCCCGGGCUCAACCUGGGAAUUGCAUUUGAGACUGCACGGCUAGAGUGUGUCAGAGGGGGGUAGAAUUCCACGUGUAGCAGUGAAAUGCGUAGAGAUGUGGAGGAAUACCGAUGGCGAAGGCAGCCCCCUGGGAUAACACUGGCGCUCAUGCACGAAAGCGUGGGGAGCAAACAGG
rnacentral:rRNA from 1 species